rnacentral:lncRNA from 1 species
AGACAUUAAUCUUAAGUAUCCAGGGAGCCCUAAAACAUUGUAUCCCACUAGCAAGGACCAUGGUAAUUGCCACGUAAAUCCCCUCCAUUAUGUGGCCCUUAUUAUGACCAGCCAGCCAAGGCUUGCCUUUAAAUCAUACCAAUUGAACCGAGCCUUGUAGAAACACUAUCACCUACGCAUACCUCUGCUUCUUUUCAUUAACCUGCUAUCCUCUUUACAAAUGGGAUUCUUCACCCACUCCCUUCUUCUAGAUUAGCAAUGCCCUGUUAAGUAAACGAACACGAAAUUCAAAGGGAAACAGGAGCAAUCAUCAUUACCAGCUGCCGUGUUAAGCAUUGCGAAAACGCUCACGAUUCACAGAAAAAUCCAUGCUGUUCUUUGAAGGCAUUCAAGCCUUAAUAGCUAGCUGGAUGAAUGUUUAACUUCUAGGCCAGGCACUACUCUGUCCCAACAAUAAGCCCUGUACAUUGGGAAAGGUGCCGAGACAUGAACUUUGGUCUUCUCUGCAAUCCAUCUGGAGCAUUCACUGACAACAUCGACUUUGAAGUUGCACUGACCUGGCCAGCCCUGCCACUUACCAGGUUGGAUUCUAGUGAACUUGAUGAGUCAAGACUAUUGCAAUUGGAAAUCUGUUCUCCUCUGCUGCUGCAUUCCCUGCUUAAUACUCAAGCCAGAAACCAGGAAGGCUGUGGCUUGCCUUUUCACUUCUUGUGUCCUGUUUAAGAAAUAUCUGCUAUCCCAAGCAUCUGGCAUCUUUCUUGACAUAUGUAGCAGUUGCUUUUUGACAGCUUGCUUCUUCAGUGAAUGAAUAAAUUAAUAAAGAGAAAUGUGAUGUUCAGUGAUCCAUUUUGCAGCAUUUAUUAAAUACUGGUGCAUAAUGAUGGAAUAAAUUUUAUACCGUAAGGAUAAACCAGUAUUCUGGACUAAGCCAACGUGGGAGACCCUAGGAGGCCUGUUUGAGAAAGUGACAUUUAAAUUGAGACUUGGCGGUGGCUGUGGCUACAUAUCUAAUUGCAAACUCCUAGAGAAGGGCUCAACAGUGAGUGCUGAGGCUGCACAGAGGAGGAAGGCAGCACAAUGAUGGAAGGCUUCCUAAAGAGAUAACACUAACAAAGUUGACCUUAGAAUUGGAGUGCCUGGGUUAGAACCCUGCUGGUACCACCUGCUUACUGCAUGCUUCUGAUGUGAGUUCAGGAGAAGACACUGGCAAGGACAGCAAAGAACAGGAGAACACUCUAGCUUCCCUGAUAGCAUUCAAGGUGCUGUCCAAAGUGACUGACUGUGAUGGCACCCUCCAGACAGACAGCGAUGCCACAUGUUCAAGAUGGCAGAAUCACUAUCAGCUUCAAUUCCUGAAUGACUGCAGAGCAAAAUUUCUUACCUGCAACAUACACUCUAUUUUCAGCCUCCCUGGACUGUUACAUAAUGAUACAUAAAAAUAUUUCUUGUGUUGAGGCAUCCCAAAUUUGAUUUAUUUGUCAUCACAGUCUAUCCUAUGAAUAUAUUUCUGAUCCAAAUAAUGCUAGAUUCAUGAGAGUUUAUAGUCCAGAGAUUUUUUUUUUUUUUUUGAGACAGAAUCUGUCUCCCAGGCUGGGGUGCAGUGGCAUAAUCUUAGCUCACUGCAACCUCUGCCUCCCGGGCUCAAGUGAUCCUCCCUCCUUAGCCUCCAUGAGUAGCUGGGACCACAGGUGUGCACCACCACACCCCGCUAAUUAUUUUGUAUUUUUUGCAGAGGGGGGUUUCACCACAUUGCCCAAGCUGGUCUCAAACUCCUAGACUUAAGGGAUCUGCCUGCCUUGGCCUCCCAAAAUGCUGAAAUUACACUUGUUAGCCAUAGUAAUAGUUCCUAGCCAUAGUCCGGAGAUAUUUUAAAAACUUUAGUGUGAGUUAUUUCUCUUUGCUAUAAUUCUCUCAUGCAUUUUGAAAACCUUUUCUGCCAUACAGUGGUUUUUGGGAAGUCCUUUUGGACAGACAUAUCACAGGAUGGAGAAACUAAAAAGAGAGAAUGCAUUAAAGAAAAAAUAGUACUUCGUAUUUCAGAAAUUACAAAAGGGUGUCAUGCCCCACAGCAUGGUGGGCAGUCAUUUGUAACCCACAGAACAUUGAGUUUCUAAAAUUUGAGUGUUUUUAACUUACGAAGGCCAACUUUACUGAUGAAGUGAUUACCCCAAAUAUGUGAAAUCCAUAUUUCAAGUACAAUAGUAGGAAAUUGGAAAUGGGCUCUUGAGUUUCUGCUUUCAAGUGACCCUCAGAAAUUCCUCCAUUCACUGCAGAGGUUCUGUUUCUCCUUGCUUUGUUCUGACUUUACGGCAGAACUAAGCUAAUGAGUUAGUUACUAUGGGUUAUCACUUGGAUUUGAAGAACCAUCAUUUCUAGGCAUUGCUGCUCAGAGUGACCUUGCCAUCGUAUCCCCUUUUGGAGACACAAGCCAGGAAGGAAGCUCUUCAGUGCAGCUGUGAAUAGAGAAAUGCUGGCUGAGGUUUUGGAGACACUGGGUGAUCAUUCCCAGUGAAAUUUUUAGAUCCCUGGGGACAUGAGCUGCUUUGUCUUUUCCAAGGCUGAAAAAGUUUUGGAAGCCCUCCUAAGCAGGUGCCAGACCCUUUUUUGGCCAGAGACAGGAUCUUACGCUGUUGCCCAGGCUGGAGUGCAAUAGUGUCAUCAUGGCUCACUGUAGCCUGGAACUGCUGGGCUCAAGGGAUCCUCCCAGCUCAGCCUCCCAAGUAGCUAGGAGUAAAGUCUGGAGAACACUUUUUCUUUUGAGCUGUUUACAACCUUUAGCAAUUGAGUAGAGUGUACUCUUGUCAAUAGAAUUUGAAGCACAUUUCUCUCUCUGCCUGAUUUCUGUAGAAUUUGUAAACUAUUUGUGAAUAUUCUUAAUUUAUGGCAAUAUGGUUGCUUACAUAAGUUCAAUAAUAAUCUGUUUUCUUUUACAAUGAGACACAGUUGGAGGAACUGGUUAUUUUCCCAGGGCUUUGACUGAAAUGGCCUUGUGAAUGGUUCCAGGAAAGCCAAUUUUGGAGACCCUAUGUGGAUGAUGAUGCUUGCUGUACUUUCUGUGGGUAAUCGGGCCAAGUAUAUGGGACUGAAGCUAAUUUUGCAGGUGAGAAAAUGGAGGUCCAGAGAGAAAAGUGACUCACCCAAGCUGAAAACAGUUGCAGGAAGAAAAGCCAGGACAGAACUGGGCUGUUAGAAACCUUGGAGUACACUAAAGAUGAGGAACUGAGUCACCGCAAUGCCAAAUGUAACACGCUGUGGGUCAAAAUUUGGAUGGUUGCGUUGGAAAUUAUUCUGAAGCCACAGACAGGGCUAAAAGGAUGAUUCACAAAGUGUUCAUAGCAGGGAAGCUGAUGGAAAAGUGACAUGCCCCUAGACUUGAGAGAUGCUCUCUAAGUUUAAAAAGGAAACAGCUUAUUGUAAAAUUUAUUUGAAUCCUACAACCUUCCCAUAUCUGUGUAAUUAGCAAAAAGACAAGCUGCAACCAGAGAGG